rfam:Bacterium CSP1-2 XT11_C0013, whole genome shotgun sequence.
AGUUAAGUUGUGUAGAGCAGAUGGAGAAUGCCUUGGUGGCAGAUGGCGAUGAAGGACGUAGCAAGCUGCGAUAAGCCUCGGGGAGUCGCUAAGCAGGCUGUGAUCCGAGGAUUUCCGAAUGGGGAAACCCAGCUAAGUAAACCUUGGCUAUCUUAGGGUGAAUCCAUAGCCCUAAGAGGCGAACAGAGGGAAGUGAAACAUCUCAGUACCUCUAGGAAAAGAAAUCAAUUGAGAUUCCCCUAGUAGUGGCGAGCGAAAGGGGAAUAGCCUAAACCCUACGAGUGUUAAAACCUACGGGUGUUGCUUAUAGGGGGUUGCGGGAUGCAGUCUGAGGAAUCCGUAGAUUCUUCAGGGAGUUACAAAGCCUUGUAUUAGUUGAAUUGCUUGGAAGGGCAAACCAUAGAGGGUGAUAGUCCCGUAAACAAAAAUACAAGGUCUCCUGUGAUUGCAUUCCCAAGUACCUCGGCCCACGUGAAAGGUUGAGGGAAACCGGGAAGACCACUUUCCAAGGCUAAAUACAAACUGCCGACCGAUAGUGCACUAGUACUGUGAAGGAAAGGUGAAAAGAACCCCAGUGAGGGGAGUGAAAUAGAACCUGAAACCAUUUGCUUGUAACCUGUGGAAGGGCUAUGCCCAAGGAGGCAACUCCGCGGGAAUGCCUGACCGCGUGCCUUUUGCCUAAUGAGCCGGCGAGUUACUUUCAGUGGCAAGGUUAAGCCGAAAGAGGCGAAGCCAUAGCGAAAGCGAGUCUUAAUAGGGCGAUAAGUCACUGGUAGUAGACCCGAAGCGAGUCGAUCUAUCCAUGGCCAGGGUGAAACAGAGGGAAAACCUCUGUGGAGGCCCGCACUGGUCAGGGGUGAAAACCUGUCGGAUGAGCUGUGGAUAGGAGUGAAAGGCUAAUCAAGACUCGUGAUAGCUGGUUCUCCCCGAAAUAUAUUGAGGUAUAGCCUCACGUAAUAACGGGCGGAGGUAGAGCACUGGUUGGACUAGGGAGCUGAAAGGCUUACCAAACCCAGUCAAACUCCGAAUGCCGCCUUGUCUUAUCGUGGGAGUCAGUCCAUGGGAGAUAAGUUCCAUGGGCGAGAGGGAAACAGCCCAGAUCGUCAGCUAAGGCCCCCAAAUUCAGGCUAAGUGGUAAAGGAUGUGAAUUCGCAGAGACAGCCAGGAGGUAGGCUCAGAAGCAGCCACCCUUUAAAGAGUGCGUAACAGCUCACUGGUCGAUGCGAGUUCGCGCCGAAAAUGAAUCGGGGCUCAAGCCUGGUGCCGAAGCUACGGGCUGCACGAAAGUGUAGCGGUAGGGGAGCGUUCCCAACGGAUUGAAGGGUUAUCGUAAGAAGGCCUGGACUUUUGGGAAGUGAGAAUGCCGGCAUGAGUAGCGAUAAAGGUGGUGAGAAUCCACCUCGCCGUAAGCCUAAGGGUUCCUGGGGAAGGCUCGUCCUCCCAGGGUAAGUCGGGACCUAAGGUGAGGCCGAGAGGCGUAACCGAUGGAAAACGGGUUAAUAUUCCCGUACCACCAAGUUGGAGUGAAGGGGUGACGAAGGAGGGUAGGUCAGCCGGGUAUUGGACAUCCCGGUUCAAGCUUGUAGGAGGAAGGAACAGGUAAAUCCGUUCCUUCGUUAACUCUGAGAAGCGAGUACGAGGGGCGUAAGCCCCGCAAAGUGAUUGAGCCCAUACUUCCGAGAAAAGCCUCGUAGCGUUGAUAAUUUGGUGCCCGUACCGGAAACGGACACACGUGGGCGAGUAGAGUAUACUAAGGCGCGUGAGAGAACUUCGGCCAAGGAACUCGGCAAGUUAGCCCCGUAACUUAGGGAUAAGGGGUGCCCACAUUAGGUGUAGGUUCUCGCAACUGAAGCCGAAGUGGGUCGCAGCAAAGAGGCGGUGGCGACUGUUUACUAAAAACACAGGGCUCUGCAAAGGCGAAAGCCGACGUAUAGGGUCUGACUCCUGCCCGGUGCCGGACGGUUAAGGGGAUGGGUUAUUCUAGACAACUAGGAGAAGCUUUGAACCGAAGCCCCGGUAAACGGCGGCCGUAACUAUAACGGUCCUAAGGUAGCGAAAUUCCUUGUCGGGUAAGUUCCGACCUGCAUGAAAGGAGUAACGAUUGCCGCGCUGUCUCGGCCGAAAGCUCAGCGAAAUUGUGGUUCUGGUGAAGACGCCAGAUACCCGCUGUGGGACGGAAAGACCCCGUGCACCUUUACUAUAUCCUAGUGCUGGAUUUUGGUGCUGCAUGCGUAGCAUAGGUGGGAGCCUUUGAACCCCCGAUCUCGGUUGGGGGUGAGGCAAUAGUGAAAUACCACCCUUGUAGUUCUAGGAUUCUAACUGAGGUCCGUUAUCCGGAUCCAGGACACCGCUAGGUGGGUAGUUUGACUGGGGCGGUCGCCUCCUAAAGAGUAACGGAGGCGCGCAAAGGUUCCCUCAGCCUGAUUGGAAACCAGGUGUAGAGUGUAAAGACAUAAGGGAGCUUGACUGUGAGACUGACAAGUCGAGCAGGUGCGAAAGCAGGCCUUAGUGACCCGGUGGUUCCAUGUGGGAGGGCCAUCGAUCAUCGGAUAAAAGGUACGCCGGGGAUAACAGAAUAAUCGCGCCCAAGAGUCCACAUCGACGGCGCGGAUUGUUACCUCGAUGUCGGCUCAUCGCAUCCUGGGGCUGAAGCAGGUCCCAAGGGUUGGGCUGUUCGCCCAUUAAAGCGGUACGUGAGCUGGGUUUAGAACGUCGUGAGACAGUUCGGUCCCUAUCUACAGCGGGCGCAGGAGACUUGAGGGGGUCUGCUCAUAGUACGAGAGGACCUGAGUGGACGAGCCUCUAGUGUACCAGUUGUCGUGCCAACGGCAGCGCUGGGUAGUUAUGCUCGGAAGGGAUAACCGCUGAAAGCAUCUAAGCGGGAAGCCUGCCCCAAGAUUAGGUCUCCCGAACCGUAAGGUUCCUAAAGGUCCCUCGAAGACUACGAGGUUGAUAGGCUCUAGGUGUAAGCUCUGCAAGGGGUUGAGCUGAAGAGUACUAACCGACCGUGCGCCUUAACUGC